ACUCCUACGGGAGGCAGCAGUAGGGAAUCUUCCACAAUGGACGAAAGUCUGAUGGAGCAACGCCGCGUGAACGAUGAAGGCUUUCGGGUCGUAAAGUUCUGUUGUAAGGGAAGAACAAGUGCCGCAGGCAAUGGCGGCACCUUGACGGUACCUUGCGAGAAAGCCACGGCUAACUACGUGCCAGCAGCCGCGGUAAUACGUAGGUGGCAAGCGUUGUCCGGAAUUAUUGGGCGUAAAGCGCGCGCAGGCGGCCUCUUAAGUCUGAUGUGAAACGCCCCCCGGGCUCGAACCGGGGAGGGCCAUUGGAAACUGGGAGGCUUGAGUAUAGGAGAGAAGAGUGGAAUUCCACGUGUAGCGGUGAAAUGCGUAGAGAUGUGGAGGAACACCGAGUGGCGAAGGUCGACUCUUUGGCCUAUAACUGACGCGUGAGGCGCGAAAGCGUGGGAGCAAACAGGAUUAGAU
rnacentral:rRNA from 1 species